rnacentral:rRNA from 1 species
GACGAACGCUGGCGGUGUGCUUAACACAUGCAAGUCGAACGGAAAGGCCCUGCUUUUGUGGGGUGCUCGAGUGGCGAACGGGUGAGUAACACGUGAGUAACCUGCCCUUGACUUUGGGAUAACUUCAGGAAACUGGGGCUAAUACCGGAUAGGAGCUCCUGCUGCAUGGUGGGGGUUGGAAAGUUUCGGCGGUUGGGGAUGGACUCGCGGCUUAUCAGCUUGUUGGUGGGGUAGUGGCUUACCAAGGCUUUGACGGGUAGCCGGCCUGAGAGGGUGACCGGCCACAUUGGGACUGAGAUACGGCCCAGACUCCUACGGGAGGCAGCAGUGGGGAAUAUUGCACAAUGGGCGGAAGCCUGAUGCAGCAACGCCGCGUGCGGGAUGACGGCCUUCGGGUUGUAAACCGCUUUCGCCUGUGACGAAGCGUGAGUGACGGUAAUGGGUAAAGAAGCACCGGCUAACUACGUGCCAGCAGCCGCGGUGAUACGUAGGGUGCGAGCGUUGUCCGGAUUUAUUGGGCGUAAAGGGCUCGUAGGUGGUUGAUCGCGUCGGAAGUGUAAUCUUGGGGCUUAACCCUGAGCGUGCUUUCGAUACGGGUUGACUUGAGGAAGGUAGGGGAGAAUGGAAUUCCUGGUGGAGCGGUGGAAUGCGCAGAUAUCAGGAGGAACACCAGUGGCGAAGGCGGUUCUCUGGGCCUUUCCUGACGCUGAGGAGCGAAAGCGUGGGGAGCGAACAGGCUUAGAUACCCUGGUAGUCCACGCUGUAAACGGUGGGUACUAGGUGUGGGGUCCAUUCCACGGGUUCCGUGCCGUAGCUAACGCUUUAAGUACCCCGCCUGGGGAGUACGGCCGCAAGGCUAAAACUCAAAGGAAUUGACGGGGCCCCGCACAAGCGGCGGAGCAUGCGGAUUAAUUCGAUGCAACGCGUAGAACCUUACCUGGGUUUGACAUGGAUCGGGAGUGCUCAGAGAUGGGUGUGCCUCUUUUGGGGUCGGUUCACAGGUGGUGCAUGGCUGUCGUCAGCUCGUGUCGUGAGAUGUUGGGUUAAGUCCCGCAACGAGCGCAACCCCUGUUCACUGUUGCCAGCACGUUAUGGUGGGGACUCAGUGGAGACCGCCGGGGUCAACUCGGAGGAAGGUGGGGAUGACGUCAAGUCAUCAUGCCCCUUAUGUCCAGGGCUUCACGCAUGCUACAAUGGCUGGUACAGAGAGUGGCGAGCCUGUGAGGGUGAGCGAAUCUCGGAAAGCCGGUCUCAGUUCGGAUUGGGGUCUGCAACUCGACCUCAUGAAGUCGGAGUCGCUAGUAAUCGCAGAUCAGCAACGCUGCGGUGAAUACGUUCCCGGG